UACGAAGGGGGCUAGCGUUGCUCGGAAUCACUGGGCGUAAAGGGUGCGUAGGCGGGUCGUUAAGUCAGGGGUGAAAUCCUGGAGCUCAACUCCAGAACUGCCUUUGAUACUGAAGAUCUUGAGUGCGGGAGAGGUGAGUGGAACUGCGAGUGUAGAGGUGAAAUUCGUAGAUAUUCGCAAGAACACCAGUGGCGAAGGCGGCUCACUGGCCCGAUACUGACGCUGAGGCACGAAAGCGUGGGGAGCAAACAGG
rnacentral:rRNA from 1 species